AUUGAACGCUGGCGGCAGGCCUAACACAUGCAAGUCGAACGGUAACAGGAAACAGCUUGCUGUUUCGCUGACGAGUGGCGGACGGGAGAGUAAUGUCUGGGAAACUGCCUGAUGGAGGGGGAUAACUACUGGAAACGGUAGCUAAUACCGCAUAACGUCGCAAGACCAAAGAGGGGGACCUUCGGGCCUCUUGCCAUCGGAUGUGCCCAGAUGGGAUUAGCUAGUAGGUGGGGUAACGGCUCACCUAGGCGACGAUCCCUAGCUGGUCUGAGAGGAUGACCAGCCACACUGGAACUGAGACACGGUCCAGACUCCUACGGGAGGCAGCAGUGGGGAAUAUUGCACAAUGGGCGCAAGCCUGAUGCAGCCAUGCCGCGUGUAUGAAGAAGGCCUUCGGGUUGUAAAGUACUUUCAGCGGGGAUGAAGGGAGUAAAGUUAAUACCUUUGCUCAUUGACGUUACCCGCAGAAGAAGCACCGGCUAACUCCGUG
rnacentral:rRNA from 1 species